GUGCCAGCAGCCGCGGUAAUACGGAGGGUGCAAGCGUUAUCCGGAAUCAUUGGGUUUAAAGGGUCCGCAGGCGGUCUUAUAAGUCAGUGGUGAAAGCCUACAGCUCAACUGUAGAACUGCCAUUGAUACUGUAAGACUUGAAUUCGAUCGAAGUGGGCGGAAUAUGACAUGUAGCGGUGAAAUGCUUAGAUAUGUCAUAGAACACCGAUAGCGAAGGCAGCUCACUAGGUCUGGAUUGACGCUCAGGGACGAAAGCGUGGGGAGCAAACAGGAUUAGAAACCCCAGUAGUCC
rnacentral:rRNA from 1 species